rnacentral:lncRNA from 1 species
AAAUAACAAAUUAGCGGAAAAUAUCCAAAAAACACUGUUCCAUUAAAAUUUUCUAAAACUCUUGAAGAUUUUUUAUUUCUGAAACAAUCCAUAGAUAAUCGGAGGUUUGAAAUGGCUUAAACCGGUUGGUUUCAAGUGUUUAGGUUCGAGUUUUUGGUUGCAUUUGAUUACUGGACAUUAUUGGAUCCUUCUGCUGGUUGGAGUUUGGUUCAAAACUGGUUUUCCUUCCGUUAUUUUUGGGCUGUGUUGUUGCUGUGUUGUUCAGCUGCUGACCUUUUGCUGUUUAUUUCAUUUUCCAGGUACAUUUUACACUCCACCUCAUGUGUAAACUGAUUUGAUGAAUGAAGAUGGAAAUUCUGCAAUUUCAAUAUGUUUUCAGCCUUCUACUAUGAAUUUAACCUUGUUACUGUUUCAUUUAUGGGUUCUACAACUUAGAUCAUUGCCCUUUUGUAAUUAAUUUUAAUCUGAGUAAAUGUUUUGCGAGCUAUCUAUUUCUGUUCUGUUUUUUUUCUGAUUAUUUCACUUGUGCCCUUUGUUUUGGUAUAUCAGUCAAUGAUAUAACAUGAACACUGAAGGCUCAUUUUAAG